GGGGAUUUAGCUCAAUGGUAGAGCGCUUGCCUAGCAAGCUUGAGGCCCUGAGUUCGGUCCUCAGCUCCG
rnacentral:tRNA from 1 species